CCUACGGGUGGCAGCAGUAGGGAAUAUUGCACAAUGGGGGAAACCCUGAUGCAGCGACGCCGCGUGAGUGAAGAAGUAAUUCGUUAUGUAAAGCUCUAUCAGCAGGGAAGAAAAUGACGGUACCUGAGUAAGCAGCCCCGGCUAGCUACUUACCAGCAACCGCGGUAAUACGUAGGGGGCAAGCGUUAGCCGGAUUUAAUGGGGGUAAAGGUAGCGUAAACGGCAGUGCAAGUCUGGAGUGAAAGGCGGGGGCUCAACCGCCGGAGUGCUCUGGAAACUGGACGGCUGGAGUGCAGUAGAGGUAAGUGGAAUUCCUAGUGUAGCGGUGAAAUGCGUAGAGAUUAGGAGGAACACCAGUGGCGAAGGCGGCUUACUGGACUGUAACUGACGUUGAGGUGCGAAAGCGUGGGGAGCAAACAGGAUUAGAUACCCUUGUAGUC
rnacentral:rRNA from 1 species